rnacentral:rRNA from 1 species
AUUGAACGCUGGCGGCAUGCUUUACACAUGCAAGUCGAACGGUAACAGGCCGCAAGGUGCUGACGAGUGGCGAACGGGUGAGUAAUGCAUCGGAACGUGCCCAGUCGUGGGGGAUAACGCAGCGAAAGCUGUGCUAAUACCGCAUACGAUCUAUGGAUGAAAGCGGGGGACCGUAAGGCCUCGCGCGAUUGGAGCGGCCGAUGUCAGAUUAGGUAGUUGGUGGGGUAAAGGCUCACCAAGCCAACGAUCUGUAGCUGGUCUGAGAGGACGACCAGCCACACGGGGAGUGAGAGACGGGGCAGAAUCCUACGGGAGGCAGCAGUGGGGGAUUUUGGACAAUGGGCGCAAGCCUGAUCCAGCAAUGCCGCGUGCAGGAAGAAGGCCUUCGGGUUGUAAACUGCUUUUGUACGGAACGAAACGGUCCUGGUUAAUACCUGGGGCUAAUGACGGUACCGUAAGAAUAAGCACCGGCUAACUACGUGCCAGCCGCCGCUGUAACAC